AUAUGCACUCCCUCGGUAAAGAAAUAUAAGAGCGGUUAGAUCGCUACUUUAGUGAUCAAAACCACAACCAUAAAAUAUUUCUUUAGAGGGGAAGCACAUGACAUAAAUAUUUCUGUUAUAUUACAAGUAUAAAAUAAAUUGAUGCAGAGACCACCAAACAAUAUGGACAUGCAAAUGUCACAAAAUACAAAAUAACUAACAUAGUAUCAGGUAAGCAUCAUUACGCAACGCCAAAGGUGAGAGAAACAAGAGCCAAGAUUAUCACCUCCAAAACUACCAACCGAUUAUCUAAUAGACUUGAGUGCCAAGAUUCAUCACCACCCACCAUCAGUCCAUUGGCGAUAUCUACUAGUUGAGCAUCAUCAACUUGAUGAGGUUGAGGAGACCACCACUUGUUCCCCCUGACUUAUGCAGUUGUUCUUUUUCCCCAACUCGUCUCCUCCCUGUUGAACAAGAGCACCCAUGUUGUUCCUUGCCAAUUCGUCGUGCUGCGGCGGAUCGGAUUUGCUGGCUUUAUAGAUGUUCCAGAUUGCGUAGGCGCUUGCAGCAGGGCUCAAGCACAUCCACAUGAUAUAG
rnacentral:lncRNA from 1 species